rnacentral:rRNA from 1 species
AUUGAACGCUGGCGGCAGGCCUAACACAUGCAAGUCGAACGAGUGGCGGACGGGUGAGUAAUGUCUGGGAAACUGCCCGAUGGAGGGGGAUAACUACUGGAAACGGUAGCUAAUACCGCAUACCAUGGGAUGUGCCCAGAUGUGAUUAGCUAGUCGGUGGGGUAAUGGCUCACCUAGGCGACGAGCCCUAGCUGGUCUGAGAGGAUGACCAGCCACAUGGGAACUGAGACACGGUCCAGACUCCUACGGGAGGCAGCAGUUGGGAAUAUUGCACAAGGGGCGAAAGCCUGAUGCAGCCAUGCCGCGUGUAUGAAGAAGGCCUUCGGGUUGUAAAGUACUUUCAGCGAGGAGGCGUUACUCGCAGAAGAAGCACCGGCUAACUCCGUGCCAGCCGCCGCGGUAAUUC